AUUGAACGCUGGCGGCAGGCCUAACACAUGCAAGUCGAACGAGUGGCGGACGGGUGAGUAAUGUCUGGGAAUCUGCCUGAUGGAGGGGGAUAACUACGGGAAACGGUAGCUAAUACCGCAUACCAUCGGAUGUGCCCAGAUGGGAUUAGCUUGUUGGUGGGGUAACGGCUCACCAAGGCGACGAUCCCUAGCUGGUCUGAGAGGAUGACCAGCCACACUGGAACUGAGACACGGUCCAGACUCCUACGGGAGGCAGCAGUGGGGAAUAUUGCACAAUGGGCGCAACCCUGACGCAGCCAUGCCGCGUGAAUGAAGAAGGCCUUCGGGUUGUAAAGUUCUUUCGGUAGGGAGGCGUUACCUGCAGAAGAAGCACCGGCUAACUCCGUGCCAGCCGCCGCGGUAAUUC
rnacentral:rRNA from 1 species